rnacentral:rRNA from 1 species
UACGUAGGGCGCAAGCGUUGUCCGGAAUUAUUGGGCGUAAAGAGCUCGUAGGUGGCUUGUCACGUCGGGUGUGAAAGCUUGGGGCUUAACUCCAGGUCUGCAUUCGAUACGGGCUGGCUAGAGGUAGGUAGGGGAGAACGGAAUUCCUGGUGUAGCGGUGAAAUGCGCAGAUAUCAGGAGGAACACCGGUGGCGAAGGCGGGUCUCUGGGCAACAACUGACGCUGAGGAGCGAAAGCGUGGGGAGCGAACAGG